rnacentral:rRNA from 1 species
GGACCAUCCUCCAAGGCUAAAUACUCGUGGUCGACCGAUAGUGCACCAGUACCGUGAGGGAAAGGCGAAAAGAACCCCGGUGAGGGGAGUGAAAUAGAACCUGAAACCGCAUGCGUACAAGCAGUCGGAGCCUCCUUGUGGGGUGACGGCGUACCUUUUGUAUAAUGGGUCAGCGACUUACUUUCAGUGGCGAGCUUAACCGGUAGGGGAAGCGCAGGGAAACCGAGUCCGAAUAGGGCGAUCAGUCGCUGGGAGUAGACCCGAAACCGAGCGAUCUAUCCAUGACCAGGCUGAAGGUGGGGUAACACCCACUGAAGGGCCGAACCCACGCCCGUUGAAAAGGUCGGGGAUGAGUUGUGGAUCGGAGUGAAAGGCUAAUCAAGCUCGGAGAUAGCUGGUUCUCCCCGAAAGCUAUUGAGGUAGCGCCUCGUGUCUCACUCCCGGGGGUAGAGCACUGUUUCGGCUAGGGGGCCAUCCCGGCUUACCAACCCGAGGCAAACUCCGAAUACCGGGAAGUGCAAUCACGGGAGACACACGGCGGGUGCGAACAUCCGUCGUGAAGAGGGAAACAACCCAGACCGCCAGCUAAGGUCCCCAAAUUGCGGCUCAGUGGGAAACGAUGUGGGAAGGCCCAGACAGCCAGGAGGUUGGCUUAUAAGCAGCCAUCCUUUAAAGAAA